rnacentral:rRNA from 1 species
AGAGUUUGAUCUGGCUCAGAAUCAACGCUGACGGCGUGCCUACACAUGCAAGUCGAACGCGAAAGGGGCUUCGGCCCUGAGUAGAGUGGCGAACGAGUGAGUAACACGUGGGUGAUCUGCCUUCGAGUGGGGGAUAACGUUCCGAAAGGAGCGCUAAUACCGCAUGACGUUCCGGGUUUAAAGACCUGGAAACCAAAGCCGGGGACCGCAAGGCCUGGCGCUUGAAGAGGAGCCCGCGUCCGAUUAGCUAGUUGGCGGGGUAAUGGCCCACCAAGGCGACGAUCGGUAGCCGGCCUGAGAGGGCGGACGGCCACACUGGAACUGAGACACGGUCCAGACUCCUACGGGAGGCAGCAGUGGGGAAUUGUUCACAAUGGGCGCAAGCCUGAUGACGCAACGCCGCGUGGGGGAUGAAGGUCUUCGGAUUGUAAACCCCUGUCGAACGGGACGAACGGCCUCUGGGCUAAUCACCAGAGGAGUGACGGUACCGUUAAAGGAAGCCACGGCUAACUCUGUGCCAGCAGUCGCGGUAAUACAGAGGUGGCAAGCGUUGUUCGGAAUUACUGGGCGUAAAGGGCGCGUAGGCGGCCAUCUAAGUCAGACGUGAAAUCCCCCGGCUUAACCUGGGAACUGCGUCUGAUACUGGAGGGCUCGAGUUUGGGAGAGGGAUGUGGAAUUCCAGGUGUAGCGGUGAAAUGCGUAGAUAUCUGGAGGAACACCGGUGGCGAAGGCGGCAUCCUGGACCAACACUGACGCUGAGGCGCGAAAGCUAGGGGAGCAAACGGGAUUAGAUACCCCGGUAGUCCUAGCCCUAAACGAUGAAUGCUUGGUGUGGCGGGUAUCGAUCCCUGCCGUGCCGAAGCUAACGCAUUAAGCAUUCCGCCUGGGGAGUACGGUCGCAAGGCUGAAACUCAAAAGAAUUGACGG